GGCUGAACACCAUAUUGCCCUAUGCAGUGAUUGCUAGCAAGGAAGUAGUAAGCUUUUACAUUUCUACCUACAUUCAGUUCCUGCUUGCGCAGCCAGUUUCUCUUUUCUGCUCAGUUGCUGAUUUAUCCUCAUCUCUGGUGGGUGCCUUCAGCCAAGUGCCUGCAGGAAAGUGGAAGCCAGACAUGGGGAAAAGUGCCCAGCCAAGCAAUAAUAUUCCAGUUCUGACCAAUACCAGACACAGAACUUCCUGUGUGCUUACAUGUGCAAGGAUUUGGAGUCCAAGAGCAGGAGACUGGAGGUGACUGCUCCUUAUAAGCACCUUGCAGAACAGCAAAAAGAAGAUAAUGGUGAUGUAAACCCCCUGCAAACUGUGCUUCCUGACAGGACAUCACCAGGAGGAGGGACUUGCAGCAGGGAGACUGAGAAUGGCAGAGGAGUGAAGGAUUUU